rnacentral:rRNA from 1 species
UACAGGGGGGGCAAGCGUUGUUCGGAAUUACUGGGCGUAAAGGGCUCGUAGGCGGCCAACUAAGUCCGACGUGAAAUCCCAAAGCUUAACUUUGGAACUGCGUCGGAUACUGGAUGGCUUGAAUCCGGGAGAGGGAUGCAGAAUUCCAGGUGUAGCGGUGAAAUGCGUAGAUAUCUGGAGGAACACCGGUGGCGAAGGCGGCAUCCUGGACCGGCAUUGACGCUGAGGAGCGAAAGCCAGGGGAGCAAACGGG